UACGUAGGGUGCGAGCGUUGUCCGGAAUUAUUGGGCGUAAAGAGCUCGUAGGCGGUUCGUCGCGUCGAAUGUGAAAACCCGGGGCUCAACUCCGGGCCUGCAUUCGAUACGGGCGGACUAGAGUUCGGUAGGGGAGACUGGAAUUCCUGGUGUAGCGGUGAAAUGCGCAGAUAUCAGGAGGAACACCGGUGGCGAAGGCGGGUCUCUGGGCCGAUACUGACGCUGAGGAGCGAAAGCGUGGGGAGCGAACGGG
rnacentral:rRNA from 1 species